AAUGAAUAUAUAAAACGUAUUCAUGUGAGGUUACUCAAACACAAAAUAACCAGCUCCAAAUAUCAGAUUCCACAUCUGGUUAACACAUUGAGUUACAUUAACAAUAAAUAGAGGCACAAAACUUAAACAAAUGCAGAAUUUCAAAUCCUCACCUAUCCAACCUCUACACACCAACUUCGUAACCCAACACACACCAAUAAUGGCAUAGUAGGCCCUUUCCAACCUCUACACACCAAUAUUUGGG
rnacentral:lncRNA from 1 species